rnacentral:rRNA from 1 species
UGCCAGCCGCCGCGGUAACACGGGGGGCGCAAGCGUUAUUCGGAAUUAUUGGGCGUAAAGGGCGCGCAGGCGGAUCGUUAAGUCAGGGGUGAAAUCCCGAGGCUCAACCUCGGAACUGCCUUUGAUACUGGCGAUCUUUGAGUCCGGGAGAGGUGAGUGGAAUUCCGAGUGUAGAGGUGAAAUUCGUAGAUAUUCGGAAGAACACCAGUGGCGAAGGCGGCUCACUGGCCCGGUACUGACGCUGAGGUGCGAAAGCGUGGGGAGCAAACAGGAUUAGAUA